UGACAUCAUCCCGGAGCAGGAAGCUAAGGGCGAGGCGGACGCCGACGGCGGUGAUGAUGAGGUAUCUUCAGAGACAAAGGUCACAGAGGUCACCGAGGAGAUGGAGCUCACCGAGGCGGAUGCGCCGGACGCCAGCUCUCCUGGGGACAUUCCGUCGUAGCCGGCUGAGCAGUGGCCGUCAGGGCUCCUCUCGGACUAACUCCAAUGGGCCCCCGAGGUCGACGCCUGAUUUGUUAAAAGGCUGGUCAUGUGAUUCGGUCAAAACCGAAAAAAAAAAAAAAAAGGGAUUUUCUUUUUUUUCUUUUGCCUGAUAGGAAUGGAAACCAUUUGGGAAUAUCGUGCUUAAGUCUGUUUCAGGAAACAGUCUGGUCAGAUGCCUAAUGAACAAUCGAUUGGUGGGAUUGAAGAUGAGACGCGAGUCGAAGGCCUGAAUGUUGAGGAUGAACUGCUCCUACUUUGUAUUCUCUGGCCUUUUGACUCUGAAGGAAGCUGCCCUUCACUUGCACAGUUGCCAUAUAAAGCAGAGUGGAAUAUACGUGGAAACAAGCUUUUCUUUCAAUGAGACUCAAAGCCCAGAUUCCAGCAAAAGCGAUCUCCUAACCCAGGUCCGAGAUAUGUUCGUACCCCAGUCCUACCUAAACCGAUUUCAAGGAUUUGCUCCGGUUCACACUCUGUAAAACCGGAUCAAACCUGAAUCUACUUUCAUUGCGUUGUGUUCCAGCUACUUCAUAGGAACUUUUUUAAUACACCUAAACUGGUCUUAACUCUCUAAAAACUAGGUGGUUAUUUUAGUUUUGUUUGUUUUAUAAAUCUGAUUAGCUGGUAUUUAUAACCUGGUGGUUAUAACCCCUGCCUUAUCGCGGCCAAAAUCUGAACCCUUUUCGAACAAAGACGCAAAGUAUGGCCGUCAGAGGAGAGCGGCCUACAAAGACUAGAGCCAAGAUGGGAAAUGGCGACAACUCAAACUGCAAAAAAAAGAAGGAAGAAAAUGCUUAAACUGGUUUAAGUUUUCUUUUUCGGAUGACUUUCGGAACGUGUUUAGUUUUGUUGCUGCAUUUAUUUCAAUGCUGUCUCGAUCUGGUCGGAACCUGUUUACACGGCUCUAAAAUCCAGUUGGAACCGGUGAGGCAGCAGUGGACCCGAGGAGGCCUGAGGGCUGGCCUGUCGUCUGCCCGGAUCAAUUCAAGUGAUAUUAUUUUCUAUCUCUCCCUCCGUGCCAAUGAUACUAGCUAUGUGCCUGGCUGCCUGCCUAAUAGAACAAACCAAUUAUUAACCUGCUUAACAUUUAUAUUAAUAAUAGUAAUAAUGAUAAUAAUGUUAUAGUAAAAAAAAAAAAAAGAACAUGCAAUUUGCUAUAUUUUCUCGUAUGUUAUUUCUAAAGGCAAAUAAUGCUUUGUUGUUGUUAAUGUUUUUGCAUUAAGUGGUGCUACAAUAGGUAGGCCUUACUUUAUUUUGGUUUUACAUUCUUCUGAGUUUCGGGUGGGAUGUCUUGAUUUUUUUUGUUGUUCUUUUGUGUUAUUAUGCAGACGUUUUGUUUUUUGUUACCAUGACAACAGCAGUCCCAUGGAAACGGUACAGCGAGAGACGUGGUUGUGUGUACUUAACGUGUGUGUGUGUGUGUGUGUAGGAUGCUUCCGUCCCAAGGUGAUGAUGAUGAUGAUGAUGAUGAUGAUGAUGAUGAUGAUGAUGAUGUAAAGAAUAUGAAGUCUUGCUCAGGGUUCCCACAGACGCUCAAAACACAAACCAAGCUCCAGUCCAAGAUGUCCGCUGUCACUUUUGUCUUACGUGCGUCAUCAUUCGAUACCUCCUCCUCACGGUCGGUUUGACGCGGUCUUAAGUGUGUUACUUCUAGUGUUUUGUUUGGUAGGGAAAGUCGCAUAGGGAGUCAAACCCUAGUUUGUUUACAUUAGCCUCAUAGGUCAAAGGAUGAGUCAAGAUGGUGUUGGAUUCAAACUACAUGGCAGUGAAUUCAGAAGUUAAGGUCCUGGUAUUGCUGUUAUAUGAGAAAACACAGGAAAACAAAUUUCGCAGUUCAAAAGUUCACGAUUUUAUUAAAGGAAAAACUAAUUUAAAUUGUUUGAGGAAACACUAUCCAUACCACCAUUUUGCCUACAAAUCAAAUCAAAACACUUGCGUUUCAGGAGAACAGUAGGUGCUCCAAAUAGAAAAGGUUUCAAAACGUAUUAUUAUAUUUUCAAAUCCCCAAAUAGCCAUUCCCUGAGGAUAGCCCCUCCCCCUGCUGCACAGCUGCCUUAGUUGCUAGGAGACGGUGACAACAACAAAAACAAAACAGGAAUAUGAUCUCGAACUGACUCUUUUAGUCUGAAGCAAUGGAUGAAUAGAAAGAAAAGGUUAUAGUAUUUGUUUUCGUGAGGUUCUCUUUAUUUUCAAUGCUUUUUUUCCAUCCAGUAUAUGUAUUAACGGAGGAGUCGGUUAUCACGCCAGUAUUUGUAUUAUUAUUAUGAAAUAUAAUAUUGUUAUUGAUAUCACAUUGAUACAACAGUAGUAAGAUUUUGAUUUUGACAAAAGAGCUAAGCCGUCCAGCUGGUGUGAUAACGGACACAAACUGCGCUGUUAGUCGCCAAACAGACUGAACGAAGCGGUUGCGUUGUGAACUGAACCAGCGAAAGAGCCAGGAGACCACAGACGAGACCUUUAUUCUAAUGGUUAUCCAAAGAAGUAUGCAGAUCUCACCUCUUAACAUCACACGUUGUGUGCAUACACUGCGUCCCAGCCUGAUUAAAUCACCUUAAUGUAAUUCACAGUAAAACAGUUAUUUCAUUUAAACAAUCCAUUCUUUAAUGUAGGGGAUAACCUUGUGAUUUACAUCUCAAAGAUUAGAAAUCGAUCUUGACCAAGUUUGAACCGUGCAGUAAACACAAGUUUAUCCCCUCCGAUAUGACUUUGGUAACGCUAGAGUUAUGCAACCCCUUACUUGUGCCUAUGACCCGACUGUUUUCCCCACAAUCACAGAAAACUUUUGAAGCGGCCAGGAAACCGCUGGUACUUAAAUACAUAUGGCUAUGCAAGCGUUAAAAACCACAUCGGUAAUACAACUGACAAGGAAACUGUUAAGACUCAUCAAUCAAGACUCGUAUCUUUCCGGAACUUGCCAUAUCCAUGCAUGCUACGUUGAGUCGAUGCUAUUGUCUAUUUUAAUUUCAAAAUGGGUGUUUCGUCGAGGGACGUUUGGAUGGGUUCACCGGUACCUGCACGAUGGGUCCGCCUGUCAGGAUAAAGAUUUCUUCACUCCGAAUCUGUCAAAUGAAAAGUUGAAGCGUGACAAAUCGCCAAAAUCUAAUCUCCGGAGUCGACACCAGCUGGGUACGGCCGCUGCUCUUUCUGAUUGGCCGAGAGCAAGCGGAGAAGUGACAACACCUGGCACUAAUUGGUUGCUCGUUUCGGGGCUAUUUCCCGAUGCCCCUUGAAGCCAGAGUUUUAGCAUUGUGGAACACUUAAGGGAAACUGUGUAACCCAUCCACGCCCGGUUGAGAAAACCUUACGGAGGCUUUUCCCACCGCCCAAUCGGUGUGCGGUAUUUUACCCCUUAAGGAUCCGAAUAACUAAAACGUUUUUUUUUUAAUUUUGAAAGGACAUCCCCGGUAAUUCUAGUCUGUUCAUUUUUUCUUUAUUUUCAAUUGCGUCUGCCGUGUGCAGCAACGGUCGCUCCGCUGCGCACCAGUUGUUCCGUGCGGUGCGGCUCUCUCGGUGCCAAUACGGAGCACUUUGUAAGGUCGAGAGCUACGGGGGGGACGACAAUCCGCCAGCAGGAGAGGAACGCAUAAAUACACGAAUCAAAUGAAAACCUGUUUACAACUGCCAAUGUAGCAAAUAAAAUAAUAAUGAAAAACACGGGCGCAAAAAAAAACAACGAAAACAUGAAGGAUCCCCAGGGGGUGGGAGCCUUUGGUCGGACAAGAGGAGAGGGAGAGAGGCAACGCUGGUACUGCCUUGUAGGCCUUGAAAACAAUGGGCAAAGCAGGGGAGUGCAUGUUUUAGGGCGUACACAUGGGAAGUGAUAUUAUCUCUUGAGUGUGCACUCAGCUUUCAUAUCUUGUUCAGAGUUCUGCUGUCCAAUCUGUUCUGUUUGCUCCUCUUUCCCUCUAUUUCUCCUCUGACCCUUUUGUUUUCCAUACUUAACGUUUUUGUCUUCACACAACGGUUGUUUUAUACGGUUUGUUAUUUUCCUGGAUUUAUCCAUUGACAUGUGUGUCUCUCGUUCUCUCUCCCCUGCUGUACGUCAACCUCUCUCGCCAGACCCUCCCAAUCUCCGGUCUUUUCCCUGCUAGAGCUGACGUGUGAUGUUAAAAGCUAUGCUCAGUCUGCCUGUAUUCGCCGUGCGUGUGUGUGUGUGCGUAUGUUUGCUGAUCCCGACCUUGUGAGGACCUCAGCAUGUCCUCACUUUUACUUUGUAAGUGUCUUUGACUUCGGGUAUCGAAAGUAUUUUCACAUUUCAAAGUAAUUGCAGCACUAAUUGCAGGCUUUCAACGUUUUUUUACGUUUUUGAUUAGCUUGUUAUGAUUGGCGUGCUCUGAUUGGCUCGUUCUGAUUGGUCCACUUGUGUGGCUCGUUCUGAUUGGUCUACUUGUGUCGGGUCGAGUUUUAGUUCUCUCGACUCUUAAGGGACCAUGUGAGCUGUUGGGUGUAGUGGGAACGCGUCUGUGUGUUUCUGUGAUGUAACCACAUCUGAAUCCCACUGCUGGAAGGAUGUUGGUCACUUCCUCUGUUUCAUAGAGAUUUAUGUUAGCGUUUACAUACGAGGCCUUAAAACUUAGCUCGAUUUUUGUUUUGUUUGUAUUUCUUUGUCAUCGCUCAAUGCCUUGCAAAGUGUUGACACAAUUCAGCUGUGUUGCUUGCACGCACACAACCGCACACACACAGAUAUACACACGUGGUACAGAAUGAGUGUGUGCAUAUUGGGAUGUGAUAACUUUGAGACAAAGAAGAUAAUAGGCCAGUUUAGAAAUGGUCAAGUACAUACACAUAAAUACACCCACGCACACACCCACACACACAUCGACUUUGUACAUUUAACCGAUAUGUUUUCGUUCGAAUUUUGUCUAUUUAGUUUAAUCUUUUUUUUUUUUUUUUUUUAAUAAUGGGAUUUUUAUUUUGUAUUAUUUGUUUCCUAUGUUGUAUUUUAUUCAGCUACUUUCGUGUACGUUACAUCGUCUUUUAGGAUUUUUAUGUCAUGCAAAAAAAAAAAAAUACUCAACAUAUUUUGACAGCCAAGAGAAGUUUGUUACACAGCUAAACUUGAAGAAUAAUGUCCAUGAUAUGAUGAUGAUUAAUAAAAGUAAUAACAGGCAUAUUUGAAGGCAUCUGUGUCCGUGUGUUUUUGUGGCGUCUAAAAGGAUGAGUCCAUUGGUUCCAUUAUACAAAGCGUGUCAUUCCCUGUGCAGUGCAUG
ensembl:lncRNA